rnacentral:rRNA from 1 species
AUGGCGGCGGCGGUGUCCCAUCUGGAUCUGGACGGUGGCACGAAGCGGCGGCGGAAGGAGGAGGAAGUAGAAGCAGGCGCGGAGGCGGCAGAGGACCGCAUCUCGGAGCUGCCGGAGGCGCUGCAGCUGCACAUCCUCUGCCUGCUCCCGCUCAAAUCCGCCAUCCGCACCGGCGCGCUCUCCACCCGGUGGCGCUCCCUCUGGACGCACCGCUGGCCGGCGCCCUCCUCCCUCGACUUCCACCUCGGCACCCACGACUCCCCCCAUCCGUUCCUCGAAACCCUGGAGCGGCGCGGGCGGCGGCGCCUCCAGCGGUUCGCCCUCUCCUUCCACAUCGGCAAGCUCAAGGCCGAGCACUUCCGCCGCUGCCUCGACUACGCGGCCGCCUGCGCCAUCGAGGACCUGCACGUCCACCUCUCAAACCGCGUCUUCAACAUCUUCUUCGACUACCGGCUCCCGCUGGGGGACGCCCACCUCGCGCGCCUCUCGCUCCGCGCCGUGACCGUCGACCUCCCCGUGUCCUUCUCCGCCCACUCCCACCCCUUCUCCGCCCUCGAGGUCAUCCACCUCCACUGCGUCCGCAUCUCCGACCGCACGGUCAACCGCCUGGUCGCUGCGUGCCCCCUCCUCCACACCCUCGAUCUGCGCUACUGCGAAAGCCUCCUCUCCGUCAUCGUCACGGCGGCCGGGGCACACUUGAGGAGCCUAACCCUUGCAGAGUGUGGUUCGGAAGCCGAAGUAUUUUUUGCCGGCGAUGCGUCCAGCCUGCGCUCAUUCCACUACAGCGGCGCCUACAUUCCGGCCUGCAGCAUCCCGGCCACCGCCAAUCUUGCUGACCUUUACAUCUGCUUCGGAGGACCUAACCGCUGGAGGCAAUUGUCAGGACCUUAUUGCGAGCUGCGCACAAACUGGCUUCAACUGCUAACCAAUUUGUCUAACCUCACCGUGCUUACCCUCUGCAGCAGUGCCCUACGGAGAUUGUCUGCCAAAGCUCGUGCCAGGUUAGCUGCCACAGGCGCUGCACCAUGCAAGUUGCUGAAUUUGAGAGAGCUUCAGCUACUGAUGUUCGCAAUGGAGAUCGAUAACAUAAACGACAUUUACACUUUCCUUGUGGCCUGCUGUGGCCCUCGAUUGGAGAGGUUAUUUGUGCAGCUUCCGACAAGUAGUUGUUAG